AUAGUUGGGAUAGUAGUAGCCCGACCCACGGACUCCUGUCCAGACCCCAUGGCAGGCGGACCAUAAAGCGCUGACAUAAAUCACGGCAAGCCGACAGUGAGCCUCAGCAUAAUCCAGCCGAGACACGGCAGUAGGUCACUCGGAGCAGUUGUUAUAUAAACAAGUUAACUACACGAUCGCCAAGAAACUGGUAUUCAAGCAGAGUCGAGAGCUGUAGAGCUGGAUAGCUCGAGCCACUCGCGGAUUCGCCUUUUUAAUUAUACAAAAUGUAACGCUUGCGUUGGCGUUCCUCAAACUUCGUGGCAAAACAAAGCAUUCUGAGAAUGUUGUGGCAGCCGCCUACCCGCAGAUGAGAGAACGAACCGGAGAUAGAAUGUUGCGGGGGCAAUGCUCAUACAUAAGGCCAUUAUUCAUUAUUCAUGGCAACAGGCGUUGCAUUCAACACAAACAUUAGUUCAUUACAUUGGCCAGACAAUAUUUUGAUGGCUAACAAACCACAAAUUAACCAAUUAAUAGGCGAUGCAUCAAAAGGGAAAGGCCAGAAGGCUCACUCCACAUAGCAUAGCGGAGUUCCCAGCGUUCGGAUGAUACGCCAACCCAGCAACUCGAAACGAACAUUAUUAUGAUGACCCCUUCCGCCUGGGUGGAUGCUGCGUCGAAGUGCUAAAAGUUCGACAGGGAGAAGCUCCAACUUUCGGCUCAGCAGAGCUCCGCCAUAACCCUGGCACUUUUCCCAGGUAAAUGAUUAAUGUUAUACGCACACAGCACUGAGAAUUGGGAAAUUGUUUGGCCAGCCAAUUAGCAACAGAAUUCUGGCCACACAAUGAGUGCGUGGAAAAUGUGAAUGGACUUGGACUUGGUCUUGGAUUUAAGGUCUCUGCAGCACCCCAACUCCCGAUGACACAUUACUUAUGCCGGACACACGCACAAUCCAGAGAGGGAAAUGGAAUGAGGUGGAUGUCCACCACAAAAACGGAUGUCCGUGAUGUGGCUGUUCAAACAGCAAUUGCAGUCUGCUUCUAUUUUGAGGCAUGCCACAUGCAUCCCAUCCAUAUUUGUGUCCCCAGACACACCGGAUGAUGUAACCAUCCGAUCAGCGAACUUGGCAGCCAAUUUUGGCCAUCGCUAACCUUGGGGAAACAGGUUCAAUGCAGAUGGGGACAGUUUUUGCUCGGCAAAACGCAACAAACUAAAGUCCCAUUUAAUUUGCACAGAAAACAAAUUCAGCCUGAGCUGCAGCCUCCUCCUUUUCCACUGCCAAUCACAUUUUCUUCAAGUUUUUCAGGCGAAACAAAACAGCGAACCGGUUUCGUUGAUGGAUUUUUGGCAGAUCCGCGCAGCAUGAGUCGAUUUAUGAAGUCAUCUUUUCAAAGUUUUUGUGUGUUUUUCGGCCAAA